AGAGUUUGAUCAUGGCUCAGAACGAACGCUGGCGGCAGGCUUAACACAUGCAAGUCGAACGGUUGUAGCAAUACAGCAGUGGCAGACGGGUGAGUAACACGUGGGAACCUUCCUAGGGGUACGGAACAACUCAGGGAAACUUGAGCUAAUACCGUAUACGUCCGUGAGGAGAAAGAUUUAUCGCCCCUAGACGGGCCCGCGUAGGAUUAGGUAGUUGGUGAGGUAACGGCUCACCAAGCCUACGAUCCUUAGCUGAUCUGAGAGGAUGAUCAGCCACACUGGGACUGAGACACGGCCCAGACUCCUACGGGAGGCAGCAGUGGGGAAUCUUGGACAAUGGGCGCAAGCCUGAUCCAGCCAUGCCGCGUGAGUGAAGAAGGCCUUCGGGUUGUAAAGCUCUUUUACCGGGGACGAUAAUGACGGUACCUGAGAAUAGCC
rnacentral:rRNA from 1 species